UACAGAGGUCUCAAGCGUUGUUCGGAUUCAUUGGGCGUAAAGGGUGCGUAGGCGGCGCGGUAAGUCGGGUGUGAAAUCUCGGAGCUUAACUCCGAAACUGCAUUCGAUACUGCCGUGCUUGAGGACUGGAGAGGAGACUGGAAUUUACGGUGUAGCGGUGAAAUGCGUAGAGAUUUGGAGGAACACCAGUGGCGAAGGCGACUUUCUGGUCUGUAACUGACGCUGAGGCGCGAAAGCGUGGGGAGCAAACAGG
rnacentral:rRNA from 1 species